UCGCCUCGGCUGCCCGGCGCCGGAGGACUGCGCAGCCUGAGUGCCCUGGGAGCCCUUUGAGGGACUCCUCUAGGGGAGGACAACCUGUCACCCUGGAGGCUAAAGUGGCACCUGAUGUCAUCGUCUUUGAGACUUGAGGAUGUGUUGGAUGUCUCCUGAAUUCAAAAAAUGAAAUCCACAGGCACAAAGGGCUUCUUCCGCCCAGGAUGGUGGCCCAGCAGCAGCUCAGUCCARGCUGGUGAAGCAAACUCCUCUGUCCACUCUGGUCCUGUGUCCACAAGGAGCCAACUCCCUGAGGAAUUCAUGAGCAGCCCCACCAAUGUGCUUGUUGACAGGUACUCUGUGUCCUCCUGGCCUCCUGGGGCCCUGCUGCAGGAAGAGGCCCCUCUAAUGCCAAGGUAAGAUGGGAAAUAGUUUCU